rnacentral:lncRNA from 1 species
GAAAUGAUAGUUUGCAAUCAGAUUUAAGUGGAUCUGGAGAAAAUAAAGACACAUGAGCUUUCUUGCACACAUCUGAGCGUGUGUUAUGGACUUUCACUCCAGCUUCAGUUCAUUUCCCAGGGUUCUUGUUUUCCUGGGAAGCCACAAGUUCUAGUACUUUCUUCUCUCCUCAAAUGUAUUAUCCCAGACAAACAUUUGGCACAUUGAAUCUGUUUCUCCCUUCUCUUUCCCUGUCUUUAGACAGAAUAUUAUUCAACUCAAGCUAAAGUGAAAACACCAACGAUGCUUGAAGCCUCUUUUGGGUAAGUGCCUCCGUACUUCGGGGUGGUUCCUGCAUGUUGGUGGGACAGAGCUCUUAAUUCCCAGGGCCGGGGGGUUUGCAGGAUGAACAUGGGGCAUUGUGGCUGACUCAGAGCUUGGUGACACCGGUGGCCCCAUUGUCCCUACUCCCAGCCUUAGGUGUGAUUAGAGCCCUCAGUGACCAGGACCUUCAUAUUCACAUGAGGCUGGUUUUUAACAAAUGCUUUUGCAAGAAGCACAGGGUGUGCUGCGUGGAGGAAGUACAGUGACGAUGGGGCUCGUUCUUCUUGGAAUGAUCAAGAGCUUCUCGGCACCCCCGGAGCAGUGUGAGGCAGAGACCACAGCUCACAGUUGAUUCCAGUGCCUUGAUGUGACUCACUGGAAAGAUUCCACCGGGCCGCAGCACCAUUGUCCUUGGAAAUCAAGGGUCAUAUUUGCAGGUGUCGUUUUGAGCUUUCUAGCCUGUUCUGUUGGCCUGUUUUCCUUUCAUCCUUGUGCUACUGUCACGCUGGCUUAAUUCCCAAGCCUUUAUAAUAAAUCUUGGUAGAACAAGGUCCAGUAGAACAAGUCCUUCCGCCUCCAAGUUUCAUGGCUCCUCCAUCGCCAUAACUUUUAGAAUCAGGUUAAGUC